rnacentral:lncRNA from 1 species
AACGUUGCUCAUUGUAGUUAUCCAAUACCAAAUUGACUGUCCCUAGCGCAAGUGGCAAAAGGCUCGAUGGUUGGUAUUUGAGAUGAUCUCAAAUUCAAAUCCUAAUUGAUUCAUAUUUUUAGCCAAAUUUAUUUUUAAAUAAAAUAAACGAAACGAAUAGCGUACUACCUAUCUCUAAAACAACGUUAUCCAACACCACCACACCCUCAUCAUGCCCA